UACGUAGGGGGCGAGCGUUGUCCGGAAUUACUGGGCGUAAAGGGCGUGUAGGCGGUUUGUUAAGUCUGGCGUGAAAGCUCUCGGCUAAACCGGGAGAGGUCGUUGGAUACUGGCAAACUAGAGGACGGUAGAGGCGUGUGGAAUUCCGGGUGUAGUGGUGAAAUGCGUAGAGAUCCGGAGGAACACCAGUGGCGAAGGCGACACGCUGGGCCGUACCUGACGCUAAAGCGCGACAGCAUGGGGAGCAAACGGG
rnacentral:rRNA from 1 species